CGAACGCUGGCGGCGUGCCUAAUACAUGCAAGUCGAGCGGAGUUAUUUUGAAAGCUUGCUUUCAAAAUAACUUAGCGGCGGACGGGUGAGUAACACGUAGGCAACCUGCCCCUUAGACUGGGAUAACUACCGGAAACGGUAGCUAAUACCGGAUAAUUUCUUUUUUCUCCUGAAGAAAGAAUGAAAGACGGAGCAAUCUGUCGCUGAGGGAUGGGCCUGCGGCGCAUUAGCUAGUUGGUGGGGUAACGGCCCACCAAGGCGACGAUGCGUAGCCGACCUGAGAGGGUGAACGGCCACACUGGGACUGAGACACGGCCCAGACUCCUACGGGAGGCAGCAGUAGGGAAUCUUCCGCAAUGGACGAAAGUCUGACGGAGCAACGCCGCGUGAGUGAUGAAGGUUUUCGGAUCGUAAAGCUCUGUUGCCAGGGAAGAACGUCCGGUAGAGUAACUGCUAUCGGAGUGACGGUACCUGAGAAGAAAGCCCCGGCUAACUACGUGCCAGCAGCCGCGGUAAUACGUAGGGGGCAAGCGUUGUCCGGAAUUAUUGGGCGUAAAGCGCGCGCAGGCGGUCAUUUAAGUCUGGUGUUUAAACCUUGGGCUCAACCUGAGGUCGCACUGGAAACUGGGUGACUUGAGUACAGAAGAGGAAAGUGGAAUUCCACGUGUAGCGGUGAAAUGCGUAGAUAUGUGGAGGAACACCAGUGGCGA
rnacentral:rRNA from 1 species